UUGMAGUGGUCGAGUUAUGCAGAGUGAAGAUAUGGAUAUACGUGAGGUCUUUGUAUCGCAAACCCGACCAAAUAAGGAAAGGGAAAACCAGCUCCUUUUGACACAAACAAAUCGAUCAGCUACGUCAUCCACAGGGUCAAUGCAAGAAAGUCUACUAUUACAUCGUCCCCGAUAUUUACAGCAAGGUCUCUCUCACAAAGGUUAGGCAAAGCUUCCUCGGCUGUUUGGCAUACGGCAAGGCAAUAUUCCAGCUCCACGGAAGAUGGAAGUCCACGAAGUCCAAAAAUAUCAACGUCAAAGAUUCCCUAUCCACUGGUGGAUUGUCCCAUCGUGAGGACCCUGAACAACAGCGCAGACCCGUCCGAUUGCCGAUUGUCGUCCUGGCUAGCAUGUCCCUACUGAGGAAAACACCAAGUAUUGAGUUUAUGCAAAUGAGGGAAGAAAUUGAAAAAUUGCUAUUGCUAUUGCAUGAACAGUUAGCCUAUAGAGAAUUGAACAAGAUAYUUUGGGUAGCAUAUACUCUGACCCUUAACGUUAACGGUCAGUCAACUACUUUCCAUACAACUUCUAAGAUAUCCUUUUUUUUCUUGAAAAGCAUGUGUACAUUCAUUAGUGCAAAUGAACUUUUUUCCAAAGUUCARUAAAAUACAUAUGGAAAAAUA